rnacentral:rRNA from 1 species
AGAGUUUGAUCAUGGCUCAGGAUGAACGCUAGCUACAGGCUUAACACAUGCAAGUCGAGGGGAAACGAUAGAGAAAGCUUGCUUUUUCUAGGCGUCGACCGGCGCACGGGUGAGUAACGCGUAUCCAACCUGCCCACCACUUGGGGAUAACCUUGCGAAAGUAAGACUAAUACCCAAUGACGUCUCUAGAAGACAUCUGAAAGGGAUUAAAGAUUUAUCGGUGAUGGAUGGGGAUGCGUCUGAUUAGCUUGUUGGCGGGGUAACGGCCCACCAAGGCAACGAUCAGUAGGGGUUCUGAGAGGAAGGUCCCCCACAUUGGAACUGAGACACGGUCCAAACUCCUACGGGAGGCAGCAGUGAGGAAUAUUGGUCAAUGGGCGAGAGCCUGAACCAGCCAAGUAGCGUGCAGGAUGACGGCCCUAUGGGUUGUAAACUGCUUUUAUAAGGGAAUAAAGUGAGCCUCGUGAGGCUUUUUGCAUGUACCUUAUGAAUAAGGACCGGCUAAUUCCGUGCCAGCAGCCGCGGUAAUACGGAAGGUCCUGGCGUUAUCCGGAUUUAUUGGGUUUAAAGGGAGCGUAGGCCGGAGAUUAAGCGUGUUGUGAAAUGUAGAUGCUCAACGUCUGCACUGCAGCGCGAACUGGUUUCCUUGAGUACGCACAAAGUGGGCGGAAUUCGUGGUGUAGCGGUGAAAUGCUUAGAUAUCACGAAGAACUCCGAUUGCGAAGGCAGCUCACUGGAGCGCAACUGACGCUGAAGCUCGAAAGUGCGGGUAUCGAACAGGAUUAGAUACCCUGGUAGUCCGCACGGUAAACGAUGGAUGCCCGCUGUUGGUCUGAAUAGGUCAGCGGCCAAGCGAAAGCAUUAA